GUCGCGUUCGUCUAGCGGCUCAGGACACGAGGUUUUCAUCCUCGUAGACGCGGGUUCGAAUCCCGGACGCGACUCCA
rnacentral:tRNA from 1 species